CCUACGGGGGGCAGCAGUGAGGAAUAUUGGUCAAUGGACGAGAGUCUGAACCAGCCAAGUAGCGUGAAGGAUGACUGCCCUAUGGGUUGUAAACUUCUUUUAUAUGGGAAUAAAAUGUUCCACGUGUGGGAUUUUGUAUGUACCAUAUGAAUAAGGAUCGGCUAACUCCGUGCCAGCAGCCGCGGUAAUACGGAGGAUCCGAGCGUUAUCCGGAUUUAUUGGGUUCAAAGGGAGCGUAGGUGGAUUGUUAAGUCAGUUGUGAAAGUUUGCGGCUCAACCGUAAAAUUGCAGUUGAAACUGGCAGUCUUGAGUACAGUAGAGGUGGGCGGAAUUCGUGGUGUAGCGGUGAAAUGCUUAGAUAUCACGAAGAACUCCGAUUGCGAAGGCAGUUCACUGGACUGCAACUGACACUGAGGCUCGAAAGUGUGGGUAUCAAACAGGAUGAGAUACCCCAGUAGUC
rnacentral:rRNA from 1 species